UCGGGAAUUUUGGGCAAUGGGCGAAAGCCUGACCCAGCAACGCCGCGUGAAGGAUGAAGUAUUUCGGUAUGUAAACUUCGAAAGAAUAGGAAGAAUAAAUGACGGUACUAUUUAUAAGGUCCGGCUAACUACGUGCCAGCAGCCGCGGUAAUACGUAGGGACCAAGCGUUGUUCGGAUUUACUGGGCGUAAAGCGUGCGUAGGUGGCUCGUUAAGUCAGAUGUGAAAGCCCCGGGCUUAACCUGGGAACGGCAUUUGAAACUGGCGAGCUAGAGUUGAGUAGAGGGGAGUGGAAUUUCAGGUGUAGCGGUGAAAUGCGUAGAGAUCUGAAGGAACACCAGUGGCGAAGGCGGCUCCCUGGACUCAAACUGACGCUGAGGUACGAAAGCGUGGGUAGCAAACAGGAUUAGAUACCCCCGUAGUCCCUGAGCGGGCUGGCAAGGCGCAU
rnacentral:rRNA from 1 species